GAGAGGUGCUGCAUGGCUGUCGUCAGCUCGUGUUGUGAAAUGUUGGGUUAAGUCUCGCAACGAGCGCAACCCCUAUCGUCCGUUGCCAGCAUUAAGUUGGGCACUCUGACGAGACUGCCUGGGUUAACCGGGAGGAAGGUGGGAUGACGUCAAGUCCUCAUGGCCCUUAUGUCUAGGGCUACACACGUAAUACAAUGGCGCGUACAAAGGGAAGCGAACUCGCAAGGGGGAGCAAAUCUCAAAAAGCGCGCCUCAGUCCGGAUUGGAGUCUGCAACUCGACUCCAUGAAGUUGGAAUCGCUAGUA
rnacentral:rRNA from 1 species